AUGGCUCCGCGGAAGCGCGCGGCCGCGGCUGCGGCCUCGAAGAAGCCGCCGCCCUCGCAGCCGUCGCAGCCGCCCGCCAAGUUCGGCAUCCUCCACUUCUUUGAGCGCCACCAGUCCCAGGCCGCCUCCCAGAACCCCAAGCGCCAGAAGCCCGUGGCGAACCCCGAUCCCAUGCCGCCCCCGCCCCCGCCCCCGCCGCCCGAGGAGGAGCUGUCCGAGGUCUCGCCGGAGGUCACCAAGACCCUCGCGCCCAAGCGGGUCAAGUUUUCCCCCGGGAUGCUGAUAAAGCAGAGCCAGGACGAUGGCGGCGGGGAGGUCGUGACCUGGAAGAUCUCGCCGGUGAACGAUCGUCUGCGCACCAGGCAGUUGCCAGGGAUGGCGCUUCAUCCGUGCUCAAACAACGAGAAACAUUCCUCGCUCGAGGCUAUGAAGAAGUGGCAUUCGUCUCCGUUGGGCUUGUCGAGGUGUACUGCUUCAGCACGCAAUCUGAGUGUGUGUGGUAUAGGCCCAGGUGGCGGUGAUGGUAUGGAAGACCAGAGCCCAUUCCGGACGCCACCAUCACUGCCCUAUAGCUUCACCGAGCAGCCGUUGAAUGCUGGUAUCACUUGUGAUGGAGGACCUGACCAGUUGGAAGCAGGGCAGCACAAAAAGGCACUAUUGGAUCUUCUAGAUCAAGUUGAAGAUGCCAUUACGGAAGAAGAAUUGCCAGUUCAUGCUGGGAAUAAAGGAGUUCAAGUCACAGGUGGUGAUAGCACGGACAGCAAAUGUUCUCCUAUUGCUAGCAGUCUAAAUGUUGAAUCCAACAAGCCUCGUGAAGCCCCAUCUUUCGAUAGUUUCCUCGUGUUGGAGGUGUCAGAAAAACACAAAGGUGAUAGUUCAUGCGAUCGCUAUCCUGCUAAGGUUCUGCGUCUCCUGAAUGAGCAUUGUGGGAAAGAGUAUUCAGUGCAUCUGUGCGACGAGUGGUUCCAUAGCACUGUCGUCCCAGGCGACACAGUAAGUGUAAUUGGAGAAUUCAGUGACCAAGGAAAAUGCACUGUUGAUCAUGAUAGCAAUCUUGUUAUUGUCCAUCCAGAAUUACUCAUCUCUGGAACGCGGGUUGCUUCAAGUUUCCAUUGUCCAAGGAGAUCUGUUCUCGACGAAAGAUUAAAAAGCAAUGAAUAUUCCACAAGCGCUUUGAUGGGUACUCUGCUUCAUCAAGUAUUUCAGGCUGGGCUACUUGAGGAUGUUCCUUCAAGGCAGUUUUUGGAACAACAAGCAAAAGAAGUUCUUUUGAACAACCUCGAGAGUCUGUAUGCAUGUGGAGCCAGUGAAAGGAGCACACAUUCAAUUCUUAUUGAAGCAAUCCCUAAAAUGUUGAAUUGGUACAAAACCUUCAUGAAGGGUUCAAAAAGCGCCAACGUGGAUUUUGGACAUACUGAAGGACGGAAAACUGUUGAAGUGACUGAGAUGAUGGAUAUUGAGGAGAUGGCAUGGGCCCCAAGGUACGGUUUAAAAGGGAUUAUCGAUGCUUCUGUCAUAUCAAGGGUAAAUUCAUGCAGCGGUGAUUCAUACGACAAAGUAAUGCCACUGGAGUUCAAAACUGGUAAAAGCACUAGUGGCCAGUCAGCUAUGGAACACUCUGCGCAGGUGAUAUUAUACACGCUAUUGAUGUCAGAGAGAUACUUGAAUAAUGACAUUGAUAUGGGUCUUCUGUAUUAUCUCCACACAGACCAGACAUUGGGUAUCAAAGUUAAGAGGUCCGAUUUAAUUGGGCUAAUGAUGCGACGGAACGAGCUUGCCUCUGAGAUUCUGAAGGCAUCAAUUUCACAGAGUUUUCCUGCAAUGCUACAGAGUCCAUCCUCAUGUACUGGAUGCCGACACCUGACUUCAUGCACCAUAUAUCACAAGGUACAUGGAGGAAAUACAGCAACUAGUGGGCUUGGUGAUCUAUUUGAUAACCUGGUGAAUCACUUAUCAGUUGCCCAUCAUAACUUUCUUAAACAUUGGGAUAGAUUGAUUGAUCUUGAAGCUAGAACUUCUCAGGUCAAGAAAAAGGAAAUUUUACUUCCUCUUCAUUACAAUUCUGGGAGCAAGAGUUCUGCGCCAUCCUUUUACGUCCUUGAUAUGAAAAAUGAACACUCAGUAGAUUCAUCUGGAAAAAGCAAAAGAUACAUAUAUAAUUUUGUGCGUGAGAAGAUGCAGCCUGAAGCAGCUGGUCAUUCAGAACCACAAGCUGAGAGCCUAGAUUUCAACCUCAAAUGUGGUGAUUGUGUGGUGCUUAGCACUCAAUCUGGGAGGAUAGCAGUUGCAAAUGGAUCUAUAAGGGACAUUAGCCGUUCCCAUAUAACGGUCUCUUUGUCACGUCGUCUGAGACUUCCAGGUAGUAGCUCCUUGCUAGAGCAAGGAGACCUCCAACGCGAACUUUGGCGGAUAGACAAGGAUGAGUUUAGCUCUUCAUUUGCAACCAUGCGAUUCAACCUUGUCCAACUGUUUUCUCAGAAGCCGCAAAACACUAAACUACGGAAGUUGGUAGUUGAUCUUGAGGCUCCCAGGUUUGAUAGUGGAGGAUUGUUCAGCCAAGACCUGGCAUUAUCAUACAUACAAUCACUAACGAGUUUGAACAAUGACCAACAGAGAUCACUGCAUAAAAUUCUAGCAGCAAAAGAUUAUGCUCUUAUUCUAGGAAUGCCUGGAACAGGCAAAACAUAUACAAUGGUGCAUGCUGUGAAGUCCUUAUUGAUGAGAGGAGAAUCUAUUUUGCUAACUUCAUAUACUAAUUCAGCUAUUGAUAAUUUGCUUAUGAAGUUGAAGGCCGAGGGUGUAGAUUUUAUUCGAAUCGGGAGGCAUGAAGCUGUACACCCUGAUGUCAGAGCCAAUUGCUUAUCAACAACAGAGGUACAGUCAGUAGAUGCAAUCAAAACAAGAAUGGAGCAAGUGCAAGUUGUUGGAGUUACUUGUUUGGGAGUAUACCAUCCCUUACUAGCACAUAAGAAGUUCGACACAUGUAUCAUGGAUGAAGCUGGACAAAUCACAUUACCGGUUUCACUGGGACCUCUGAUGCUUGCAACGAAGUUUGUGCUAGUAGGAGAUCAUUAUCAACUUCCUCCACUUGUUCAGAGCUUUGAAGCUCGAGAGAGUGGGAUGGGCAUUAGCUUAUUUUGGAGGUUGUCAGAGGCACAUCCUCAAGCAAUUUCAGCACUAAGGUGCCAGUACCGAAUGUCAUCUGGUAUUAUGGAGCUCUCAAAUUCAUUGAUUUAUGGCAAUAGGUUAUGUUGUGGUUCGUUAGAAAUCGCAAAUGCGAAACUCAAGUUUUCUGGCAAACAACAGGCUCACUUCAAGUUCAAGGAGAUUUUGAAUCCCGAUAGGGCUGUUAUCUUUGCGAACACAGAUCAAGUACCGGCACUUGAGGCCAAGGAACAUAGAACCGUGAACAAUCCUACAGAAGCAUACAUUGUUUCAUGGAUAACGAAACAAUUGCUAAAGAGAGGUGUAGCUCAAGACGAGAUUGGUAUAAUAACCCCAUAUAAUGCCCAAGUGAAUCUCAUUCGGCAGCAGGUUGAUCCUUUGGUUGAGGUUCAUACAAUUGACAAAUACCAGGGGAGGGAUAAAGAUUGUAUUAUCGUAUCAUUUGUACGAUCCAGUGGGAACUCAAGGGCUAGUGGUUCUUCUUUGCUUGGCGAUUGGCACAGGAUCAAUGUUGUCUUGACACGUGCGAAGAAGAAGCUCAUCAUGGUUGGGUCUGCUGGAACUCUUUCGACGAUCCCAUUGCUGAGGCUUCUCCUAGAGAAGGUAGCUGAGGGCGGCGGGCAAUUAGACCUGACAAAUAAGGAUGUACACUCUAUUCCAGAGCUCCGGAAUUCCCAAUUGAAUGUGCAAUAG
rnacentral:rRNA from 1 species